rnacentral:rRNA from 1 species
UCGUCAGCAGACAAAGGAAGAAGGAGGGUGCAAGCGUUAAUCGGAAUUACUGGGCGUAAAGCGUGCGCAGGCGGUUAUAUAAGUCAGAUGUGAAAUCCCCGGGCUCAACCUGGGACCUGCAUUUGAGACUGUAUAGCUAGAGUACGGUAGAGGGGGAUGGAAUUCCGCGUGUAGCAGUGAAAUGCGUAGAUAUGCGGAGGAACACCGAUGGCGAAGGCAAUCCCCUGGGCCUGUACUGACGCUCAUGCACGAAAGCGUGGGGAGCAAACAGGAUUAGAUACCCUGGUAGUCCACGCCCUAAACGAUGUCAACUGGUUGUUGGGUCUUCACUGACUCAGUAACGAAGCUAACGCGUGAAGUUGACCGCCUGGGGAGUACGGCCGCAAGGUUGAAACUCAAAUGAAUUGGCGG